rnacentral:lncRNA from 1 species
CUCUCCAUGUGAGGCUACUUAGGUUUACUAAGUUCUUGUCCACAAGGCAUUUUCUAAGGGAUCCACCUAUCCCUAGGUUCUCAACCCUCUAGUGUUAUUUACACUACAUUAAUGCCACUCGUCAUCAUUUAACAUUUGGAUGCCAUUCGUUUGUUCUUUGACAUUACACUACUUUCUAUGUCAUCAACACCCCCAUCGGGUACAUCUCUUUUCUUUCGCAUUAUAGGAUCCACGUUACGACCCAAUCCUCACCUAUCUAGGUCACCAAGCGUUUCAAGUAUACUAGGUAAUCAAUUAGAAAGCAUAAGGAAUGGAGUUACUAUGCAAUCCUACAAUGCAACAUGUAAGAGAUGAGGUCAAUGCAAUCUAAGACAUAGAAAGGAGUUCGAAAGCUUCGGGAUGGCACACCCCACCUUUGAUCGAUGUAGAGGCUUUGGAUGUUCUUCUCGGCGAACUUUACGAAAAGGCUUUAGCCUUCCUUGCCCAAAUCAAUGCUAGCUCGGCCUUAUUUUGCCGAGAACUUCACGCCGGCUCGCUGAAUGCCAAAACCGACUUCGCCCCUACAAUUCAUGACCUAACAAUAGGGUUUCCAAGGCUUCAAAUGAGAUCAAUCUCAUACUUUCGCAAAAACCCCAUUUUGGAGCCCUAGGUUUGCACCUAUAGCAAACCACCCAUUAAAUCCCUAGAUUCUUGGGAUUGAUCUAUUUAGAAGCAUGCCUAGGGUCCAUUUGACCCAUUCCAAUGCAUAAAAACCUAAAACUCCAAAGUUUAGAAGCUAGGGUUCAAGAGCCUACCUCUUGUGCUACACCAAAGAGAAGAGGAGAGGGAGAUGAAGGUGUCCAAGGCCUUCCUCUUGAUCUCCUUCUUCUUUUCCUUCUUGUUCUUCCUCUUCUUUUCUUUCCUCUCCUUCUUGUUCUUCUCCUUCUUCUUUCUUUUCUAGAGAGAGAGAGAGCAAGAGAGAAAGAGAGUGUAAGAGAGGAAAAUGAGAGGGUGUGAGGGAGAGAGAGGGCUCAACCCACUCUAAUAAAGGCCAUUUUGCAUAAAAACCCCUCAACUUUCCAUCCAUUGCGCAACCCUUACUGGGCAGUUUAACGCGGAGGGACCGGUCUCCCCGACUUGGGACCGGUCCCCGAGAGCUUCCCUCGAGCGCACGCGUUCGGGAACCGAUCUCUCCCCGGGAGACCGGUCCUCGGGAGACCGGUCCUCGCCUGAGAGACCGAUCCCCGAGAGCUCGAUUUUCAGGGCUUAGCCAAAUUUCGGCAUUUCUCGCUCGGACCACGUUCGGGAACCGGUCCCUCCCUACCAGGGACCGGUUGUACCAAGCAACCCCGCUACAUCCAGCCGGGGGAACCGGUCUCUCACCUCCAGAGACCGGUCCCCGAGAGUAACAUCAGCCCAAAAAUACAGUUUGCACCAUUUGCUCUCGCGGACUCAACUCCAAAGCACUUUUGUGUUUUGGACAUUCUUAACUCUCACAAAGGGUAUCUUCUCGACAGUCAGUUGAUCCUAGAAAAAGUACAAUCCUCGGAUUUCGAGAAUUCACUUCCUUACAGAGUACUUUUUCUCAUUCAAUCGAACAAAGUGUAAAAGCUAAUUAUUUUUAUUCUAUUAUGCCCCGAGAGUGUAAAUUUGGAACGAAUCGAUAUCAACGCUCACAAGAACCAAAACCGAAACAACAUUAGACUACUCAGUUGCGCCCUAAGAGUAUAACUUUGCAACGAGUACUUUUUCUCAUUCUAUCGAACAAAGAGUAAAACCUAAUUAUAUUGUUCUAUUAUGCCCCGAGAGAGUAUAUUUGGAACGAAUCGAUGUCAACGUUCACAAGAACCAAAACCGGAACAACAUUAGACUACUCAGUUGCGCCCUAACAGUAUAACGUUGCAACGAGUACUUUU